rnacentral:rRNA from 1 species
UACGUAGGGUGCAAGCGUUAAUCGGAAUUACUGGGCGUAAAGCGUGCGCAGGCGGUUUUGUAAGUCUGACGUGAAAGCCCCGGGCUUAACCUGGGAAUUGCGUUGGAGACUGCAAGGCUUGAAUCUGGCAGAGGGGGGUAGAAUUCCACGUGUAGCAGUGAAAUGCGUAGAGAUGUGGAGGAACACCGAUGGCGAAGGCAGCCCCCUGGGUUAACACUGACGCUCAGGCACGAAAGCGUGGGGAGCAAACAGG